rnacentral:rRNA from 1 species
UACGGAGGGUGCGAGCGUUGUCCGGAUUUACUGGGCGUAAAGGGCGCGUAGGCGGCAAUUCAAGUCAGCUGUGAAAUCUCUGGGCUUAACCCAGAACGGCCAGCUGAUACUGCUUUGCUAGAGUGCAGAAGGGGCAAUCGGAAUUCUUGGUGUAGCGGUGAAAUGCGUAGAUAUCAAGAGGAACACCUGAGGUGAAGACGGGUUGCUGGGCUGACACUGACGCUGAGGCGCGAAAGCCAGGGGAGCAAACGGG